CCUGAUCCCAAGGCAUUGCCCACUCUGACACUCACGGCCACGCUGAAGCCCAGAGGCACCUGAGUAGCAGCAGAUAAAGAAGAGCUCCAGCAGACCUGCUGGCAGGCACCUAUCCCUUGCUGCAGAUAUGGACCAGACCCCCCCAGGCUUGAUCUUUCCAUGCUGAUUGGCUGGGGACAGCAGGUUGCUGCACAUGGUACCCAAGGUAAACCCCACAACCCAAAGCAAAGCCCUCCACACAGGGAGAGGCUGUCACCACCUCUGCUCACACUUACACCAUGCCCAGCUUCAGUGCAUAUAGGAAGACGGCGUUCAUGGCCACAUUGAGGAUGUUGGCUGCAACUCCUGUCACUAUCUGAGGCAAAAUGAUUGCCUGGAAGAUAAGGAGAGACUUUAGACUUUGCUUCUCCGGCAAUGCCCAGGAUCCCAAGCCUGCAGCCAUGACCCAAGCUACCAUCCAGCAAACACUGGGAAGACCUUCAGCAGUGUCUGAGGAGAAAGCCAAGAAAGUGGCUCCUGUUUCAGGUAAGAUCAGAUUGUAUUAGACAUGCAUUAGACAGUGUGCAGGGCUCAACAGCUGGUACAGUCAGCUCAGUGCAGAGUUCAGAGGUAGAAGCAAGAGAAUGGAGCAACCCAAAGGCGAUUCCCACGAGCUCCUCCUGUCCUGCAGAGCCAGCUGGAGGCUGUGGAUCUCGCAUUCCUCAUCCCAGCUCUCCCCAGGACAGGAUGAACUUAGAUCUCCAGCCUUAUCCACGUCCCUAGGAACUGGCCCACAGCCCGGUUACACAAUACCUGACUUAGUAAAUAUCUUGUCUGCAGCUGGUACAGAAACGCCGCCUGCAAGAGUCAGAAUUCACCUGGUCAGCACUGCUGUACUACGGUUCAGUGGCCAGCUACAGUUUAACACCUACAGAGAGGUACUUCCCACUGCUCUUGCACAGCUGUGUCAGGGUGCCACAGCACAGCAUGCUGCCCACGCUCCCGUGCCUGUGCUUGAUUUUAACCUUGGAGUACAGCUUCAGCUUAGAGGAGCUUCUCCAGAGAGGCAGAUAACAGCUGAGAGCUCAGUGGCUGCAUGCAUGUGAGCUGCAGCCUUUAUCACAGAGCUGACUGAGCUUUGCAGCACUCAGUUCCAAUGUCCACAGCUUGUAACUUGUUGUGCAGAGACGUGGCCUGCAGUAAAAGCCUCUGCACACUAAUAUGAAGGAAUGCAUGUUUGCUGGUCCAGCAGCUGCUGGCCAGUGCACAUCCAUUAAGGCUUAAGAGGCUCCAAAUCAUGCUGCCUUGUGAUCUACAGAGCAAGGGCCCUUCCUCCUUUCCCCAUUUGUUACUAAGCUUCUAAGAGCUUCAGCAGCAACUUACAGGAAGAGCUGGAAUGAAGAUCAUCACGUAGACCUGUGUUAACCUGGAAAGAGAGAUGUUCAGCCAGUUAGUGAGGCAGGAAAGCAAGAGCCAAACCAAGCAGAGUUGUAUUUGAGCUCCACAGAGCCUUGAUUUCAACACUAUGCAGCAACCCAGCCACAGCCAAACACCCAAUGCAGAUAGGCCUGACCUUCAGGGCCUGCAGGGCUGAUGUGCUGCUGGUAAGAGAGGGGUCACACUCAACCUUGCUCUGACCUGGAGACCUCAGGGUCCUGCCGGAGGAGCAGGAGGAUCUGCUCAGUGUUGAUGAAGAUCGCCCAGCAAGGGAAGCAAAACAGCAUCAGGAUGAGGAUCCCUCGCUGCAGGAUGGUGCCCACUUGCUUCAGGUUUUUGCUGCCAUAUGUCUACGUGAGGACAGAGAACCAAACAGUGGCCACCACCAGGCUGGUUGGGUUUAUCUGGCUCUCAGGUGGAUUGUGCUUCCUUCUGCUACCCAUCCUCCCACCUUUUGUGUCUCAAUCCACACUGCACAGGAGGUGAGACACUGCCAACCCAACAAGGAACGGGGAGCUGCCACCAACCUGGGACAUCAGUGUGUCACAUGCUGAAGCCAGACCAGAACCAACGGAGAUGCCGAUCACAUUGAUGACCUGGAGGAGACACAAGUGAGUUGGGUAAGUGAGAAUCACAGGGAACGUGGCCCAAAGCACCACGUCCCUCCCAGCUGGGAACAGAGACCGUCCUGCUGUGAGAUAUUUGGGAAGCUUCCAGACUUUCUCUGUUUUUCACAGUAAUACCUUCGCAUGACCUAAAUAGUCCACUCCCUGUUAUGAUGUGAAAAGGAACAUCUAGCAAGGGAUGAACAGCUAAAGGGCUGCAAACAGUGCAGCUCCCCACCACACACACAAGUAGGUCUUGCUGGCCUUGCACAGCUCACAUCUCCUGCCUCUGCUCAGGGCAAAGGAAGGAAUGAUUUGGUGGAUGCAAUCUUCGUGUUGCAUCAAGGCUGUGAGCAAUGAACCCUCAGAUCAGCAUUCCUACAGGGCUUUUUUUCCCCCCCUUCUUCUUUUCUAUUCCCCUUUUUUUGAUGUCUCACCAUUUUCAUGUUUCAAAGCAGAGCAAUACGUACAGACACAGCCAGAGUCACAGCAUCAAGCUCAGCCUUCCCCAGAUGGCCGCAGAAUAUGGAGCUGAUGACACUGAUCAGGAAGCCCAGCAGCUGGGCUACAAACUAGAAUGGGAAGAGGAGAUGGAGAAGUGAGCACCAUGGGCACAGAGGAGCACUGCCCUUCCCCUGCAGCUGGGCCACGACCAGUUGGGUUUGAACCAACUGCAAGCUUCCUCAAGGCUGCUGGUGGCUUUGUCCUUAAACCCCAGUGGUAUUGUGGUGUUACAAAGCCUAUCUGCUACAUGUCCUUGUUUAGCUGAGGCUUAAUGGCUCCCCUGGAAAGUUUCUUUUCUGUCACAGAAGCUGAGUAGAGAAGGAAAAUGACAACUCCCAAUGCUUUCUUGCACUUCCAUGCAUCUAGGGAAAGCUCAGCUCCACAGAAUACAGUGUCCUCUCCUGCACCUUCCUCUCCAGCAAGGAGUGGUGAUGCUGUCACAGACAAUGAGCUCAGCACCUCAUUUUUCCUUGGCAAGAGGUCAACCCCAAUGCAGCAUGGAACUGCUGGAUGGCUCCAGAGCUGCUGGAGAACUGGCUCCUGUGAGCCCUGAGGAAGAACCAAACCAACCUGCGGAUGCUGCACUGUCUCAGGCCUCAGCACGUCCAAGCAGCUGUGAGUAAUCCCUGCAGCAGAGCUCUGUACCUCUGUGACUGCUCCAGCGCAGGGCUGGACAUGAGAGCUACAGCUGGCAAACAGCACUAGGUUUGCUUUGAGGUUCUCUGUGCCCACCAAGCAGGGGAUGGAGGCACGGAACGGAAACCGCUGUGACUUCCUCUGCUGCACCGUCGGGUCGGGGCCACGUGAAUGUCAGCGAGGACAUCUCCCCGUUUGGUCCUCGUCUAACGGUAGGGCUGGAGGGCUCGGGACACGCAGCAUCGGGCCAGCAGCAAGGCCGGGGCUCCCAGCGCACUGCCGGGGGGGGAAGCCGGCUGGAAGGGAACCCCCCGCGGCUGGAUGACGGCUAAGGGAUGAGCCGCAUCGCUUUGACUCCAUCCGAGCCCCGUGUUGGCAGGCGGCACCGAAGCGGCUCUCGGCAGCGCCGGUUCCGCUUAAAGCUCCGUUCGGGCCCUCCCGCACCCCGCGCCGAUCCCCGCCCCGCAGCCCCGGCUCUCACCACCG